GACGUAGGGCGCGAGGCGUUGUCCGGAUUUAUUGGGCGUAAAGAGCUCGUAGGCGGCUUGUCGCGUCGAAUGUGAAAACUCGGGGCUCAACUCCGAGCUUGCAUUCGAUACGGGCAGGCUAGAGUUCGGUAGGGGAGACUGGAAAUUCCUGGUGUAGCGGUGAAAUGCGCAGAUAUCAGGAGGAACACCGGUGGCGAAGGCAGGUCACUGGGCCGCAACUGACGCUGAGGAGCGAAAGCAUGGGGAGCGAACAGG
rnacentral:rRNA from 1 species